rnacentral:tRNA from 1 species
GCCCCGGUGACAUAAUGGUUAAGUGCUUGGCUGCUAACUGAAAGGUUGGUGGUUCUAACCUACCCAGUGGCU